rnacentral:rRNA from 1 species
AACGAACGCUGGCGGCAUGCCUAACACAUGCAAGUCGAACGAGACCUUCGGGUCUAGUGGCGCACGGGUUCGUAACGCGUGGGAACCUGCCCUUAGGUUCGGAAUAACUCCCCGAAAGGGGUGCUAAUACCGGAUAAUGUCUUCGGACCAAAGAUUUAUUGCCUUUGGAUGGACCCGCGUGGGAUUAGCUAGUUGGUAGGGUAAAAGCCUACCAAGGCGACGAUCCAUAGCUGGUCUGAGAGGAUGAUCAGCCACACUGGGACUGAGACACGGCCCAGACUCCUACGGGAGGCAGCAGUGGGGAAUAUUGGACAGUGGGCGAAAGCCUGAUCCAGCAAUGCCGCGUGAGUGAUGAAGGCCUUAGGGUUGUAAAGCUCUUUUAACCGGGAUGAUAAUGACAGUACCGGGAGAAUAAGCCCCGGCUAACUCCGUG